CACCUGCUGUCAUCCCUUUGGCCACUUGUUCAUUAUGUGUGGGGUUGAGAGGAGCCUGACAACUGGAGUUCCACUGAAGCACAAGAGCUGGUCCCUGUCACAAAGAACUCACCGUCUGCCGGGCAGAGACUGCACAAGCUCGAUUAUCACCAGCAUUUUGGUACAGCAACGGAACAGCACCAGAUGUUGGUCUUAAGAAAGCUCAAGGUCUCCGUUAGCAGUUAUUAUUCACCAGUAAAGGGUUCUUUACUUUGGAGCUUGUGACAUGGAGAAGGCCCCAGCAGUCGUGGGCAUCGGUGGAUAUUGCUGAGGGGGAUCAGAAGUAGUCCAGGGACCACCUGAGGUUCUAAUAUAUGUACCUGACAAAAAACCAACCAAACAACCAAACAGAAGACAAAACAACCAUAGUAGCUCUCAACACCUGCUAAGACAUUCGCCAAGACUUUACAGCUGUCUAAUGGACAUACCUAUUGAAGAAGGACUUCCCUAGACACAUUCUCAGCCCGCUUUCCCCCUUUGACUCCUAGCUGUGGAGGGUCAUAAACCAGGAUAAGUGAGCACAGCACAUGGAGGAGAUGGAUGAAGAGAGACAUACACAAGAGCCAGGGACGGCCAAUGUAUAAAGGCAGGCUAC